rnacentral:lncRNA from 1 species
CCGCUCUCAUUGCCAUUUACGUUUUCACUGCAUUGUUUUCUGGGUGAGAGCAGAACCAGAGAUCAUCCUUACUAAGAGAAAAAUCUAAGACCAUUCUCUCGCGUCACCGCCCGGGGUAUUAAAACAAGACAGCGUGCAGGUUAAAUGUAACGAGGUCGAUGAGUAAGUCCAAUUUCCCAUCAUGAAGGAAAUGUGAGGAAAGAGGACUUCUCAGUACAGCUAAGGGAAACGAACAGCAGAGCCUGCAGGCGAAGAGUUAUAUAAAAUAAAUCUUCACAGUUUUAGUGGAAUCUCGCAGGGAAGCUGCUUGCCGGUCGUGACUCAGUUUCAUGACAGCAAGACACAGACCACGCGUUGGUUUGAUUUUAAGUAGGAUCCCAGGGAACGGCAGCUCUGUUUGCUCUCAGAGUCACAGGUUCUCAGCACUCUGAGCUUGUCUACACAGCACGAGGUGGGGUCCACCCCAGGACGUUCUCAAACACAGAUGUGUCCACCAGCUCUUCACACCAAGGUUGUCAUCUGAGUAUCAUUGGAAGGUGUGACCUCCGGCUCCACCUGUCGUUCUGCGCAACACUGAAGUGAGCUCCGCGGGGUCAGAUUAGUCUGUUUCCUCCUCCCCCUUCCUCUGGUCGCAGCUCCCCGACUUUGGAGGGCUGUCCUCGACCGCUGGCCAUGGCGCGCAGGCUCAGGGGACCGUCAACCGAGGAGCUCCUCCUCCUUGGCCAAGGGCGAGGCUUGGAUACAAGCCUGGUCAAUGGAACCUUCUCACCUAGGACCCCGAUCCGGGUGAUGUUGGGGUGGGGACAACUCCUCCCAGGAACAGUUACCCAGACCCCCGGAGCUGCCUGGAACCUGCCCUUCCUAACUUUGUUCUUGGCUGUCCCACCCGCGUGUGUCUCCCUAACCUGUCUUCCCAUCCAGAUCCAUGCUCUGUCGCUUGCAACCACAGACACCUGACUAACCGAGCUGGUGGCUAGCUCCAUGCUAGUCCUCGAGGCCCGCCACAGACAUGAGGAGUGGCCGUCAGGAGUCCUCCCAGGAGCUGGCAGUGGCCGCGCCCUGCUGACCCCACGCACCCGGGAUUGCCCCCACCCGUUUCUCCGGCAUCCGCUCCCUCCGUUCAACCAGCGGCGUCCUCAGCCACGGGGCUGGCCGGCUUCUGCUGCGGGCUCCCUGGGGACAAGGCCCUCUCUGCCUCGCGGCCCUGUCGCCCCCUCGCUCCGAGCCCACCUGCACCUGCUCCCCCGCGCUCAGCCCCAGGUCUCCCCGGCCCCUUGCCCCCCUCACCUCAUCCCUCCUCACCUGGGGCCUCCUCCAGAACAUGAACAGGGAGCAGAACCUCCUCAAGCAGUCGUUGGAGGGAGGGGGUCACAGCAGCUGGUGCCUGCAAAAUCCGGAGAGCUGGGGUCUCCAAGUGUUGGUGCAAAGGGCAGGGAGGGGGCGGCGCAUCCCCGUCGUGGCCACUGGGGGCGCUGUGUGUGCCCCGUGUGUCUAGGUGUGUGCCUGUGUGUCCCUGUGUAUCAGUAUGUCCCUGUGUGUAUGUGUGUGUGUCUGUGUGUGUCCCUGUGUGUGCAUGCAUGUCCCUGUGUGUGUGCCAUGUGUGUAUGUGUGCAUGUGCCCCUGUGUACAUCUGUGUGUCCCUAUGUGUGAGCCUAUGUGUGUCCUUGUGUGUCUGUGUGUCCAUGUGUGUGUCCAUGUGUGUCUGUGUGUGCAUGCAUGUCCCUGUGUGUGUGCCAUGUGUGUAUGUGUGCAUGUGCCCCUGUGUACAUCUGUGUGUGUCCCUAUGUGUGAGCCCAUGUGUGUCCUUGUGUGUCUGUGUGUGUCCAUGUGUGUGUCCAUGUGUGACCAUGUGUGUUUCUGUGUGUAUCCCUGUGUGUGAGUGUGCCUGUGUGUCCCUGUGUGUAUGUGUGUGUGUCUCUGUGUGUCCCUGUGUGUGUGCAUGUGUGUCUGUGUGUGCACGCACGUCCCUGUGUGUGUGCCACGUGUGUAUGUGUGCAUGUGCCCCUGUGUAUGUCUGUGUGAGUCCCUAUGUGUGUGCCUGUAUGUGUCCUUGUGUGUGUAUGUGUGUGUGUGUCCAUGUGUGUGCCUGGGUGUGUGUCUGUGUGUCUGUAUGUCCGUGUGUGUCCCAGCUGGCGUAGACAGACAGACAGCCCAGGCAGCCUUUGCUGGCGCCUCGCCACCACCUGGAAGCCCACCGCUCCUCUGACUGGAAGCACUUGAUGGCGAAGCCAUGGAAAACUCUGGCGAUGUUUCCAGCGGGAGCCGCUCCAAGAACCCUCCCCGGCCCUGCUAACCGCCCCGAAUUUCUGCAGCUUGUAGGAGCCACGCCCGGAGCCACGGGGGGCGGG